rnacentral:rRNA from 1 species
CCGGUUGAUCCUGCCGGAGGCUACUGCUAUUGGAAUUCGACUAAGCCAUGCGAGUCAAGGUGUCUUCGGACGCCGGCAAACGGCUCAGUAACACGUAGGUAAUCUACCCUCAGGACUGAGAUAACCCCGGGAAACUGGGGCUAAUACCAGAUAGAUAAAAGAUACUGGAAUGUUCUUUUAUCCAAAGCUUUUGUGCCUGAGGAUGAGCCUGCGCCCGAUUAGGUAGUUGGUGGGGUAAUGGCCCACCAAGCCUGCGAUCGGUACGGGCAGUGGGAGCUGUAGCCCGGAGUUGGGGACUGAGACAAGGCCCCAGGCCCUACGGGGCGCAGCAGGCGCGAAACCUCUGCAAUGCGGGAAACCGUGACAGGGGGAUUCCAAGUGCUCAUGCAUUGCAUGGGCUGUUCUUUGGUCUAAGUAACCAGAGGAGUAAGGGCUGGGCAAGACCGGUGCCAGCCGCCGCGGUAAUACCGGCAGCUCGAGUGGUAGCCGCGAUUAUUGGGCCUAAAACGUUCGUAGCCGGAUAAGUAAGUCUUUGGUUAAAUCCUACGACUUAACCGUGGGAAAUCUAGAGAUACUGCUUGUCUUGAGACCGGGAGAGGUUGGAGGUACUCCCAGGGUAGGGGUGAAAUCCUGUAAUCCUGGGGGGACCACCUGUGGCGAAGGCGUCCAACUGGAACGGCUCUGACGGUGAGGGACGAAACCUAGGGGAGCGAGCCGGAUUAGAUACCCGGGUAGUCCUAGGCGUAAAUGAUGCGAGUUAAGUGUGGGGGCAUCUACGAGAUGGCCCUGUGCUGUAGGGUAGCCGUUAAACUCGCUGCCUGGGGAGUACGGUCGCAAGGCUGAAACUUAAAGGAAUUGGCGGGGGAGCACCACAAGAGGUGGAGGCUGCGGUUCAAUUGGAGUCAACGCCGGA